rnacentral:rRNA from 1 species
UACGUAGGGACCAAGCGUUGUUCGGAUUUACUGGGCGUAAAGGGCGCGUAGGCGGCAAUUCAAGUCAGCUGUGAAAUCUCCGAGCUUAACUCGGAACGGUCAGCUGAUACUGUUUUGCUAGAGUGCAGAAAGGGCAACCGGAAUUCUUGGUGUAGCGGUGAAAUGCGUAGAUAUCAGGAAGAACACCAAUGGCGAAGGCAGCUCUCUGGGACGGUACUGACGCUGAGACGCGAAAGCGUGGGGAGCGAACAGG